UCCAAUCAGCAUCAGCUGGAUCUAAACCAGCUUGCCCAGGAGAAGAGGUGGAGUCAGCACCAGACAGGAACUCUGCUGCCCAAUCGCCAGACAAUGCCAGGGCAGCCACGUCAGGAGCUGGGAAUUGGAAAGUUAUAUGCAGUUGCCCCAUAUCAAAACUGUGGGGAGGUCGUUGUGGGCCCUGCAGAAACUCACUCACCAGCUGGAUUUCCAAAAACAGCAGACCAUUAUUACAUUUGGAAUGCCCAAUUCCCAAUGCACUCUAAGUCCUCGUGGUGGCUUCAAUCCGGGUGGCGGAGGAUGAAUCUCAGUUGCCUCCACAUCUGAGACCGUCAACCCACGCAUCUUAUCACGUGGCUUGUUGAGCGCAUUACCGCGGAGACAGCGCAUGUGGAGGCUUCACGCCAUCCACAGUGGCAUCCACGCACAACUCACCACGCGCCCCACUGAGAGCAAACCACAUUAUAGUGACCACGAGGAGAUUACCCCAUGUGACUCUACCCUCCCUAGCAACCGGGCCAAUUUAGUUGCUUAGGAGACCUGGCUGGUGUCAUUCAGCACACCCUGGAUUUGAACUCGCGAACUCCAGGGGUGGUAGUCAGCAUCUUUACUUGCUGAGCUACCCAGGCCCCGACAUUCACAUUCUUAAAAUAAAGUAGUGAUCCUAACUGACCUAAGACAGGGAAUGUUUUCUAUGAUUAAAUGGCAGGAAUUGUGAAAAACUGAGUUUAAAUGUAUUUGGCUAAGGUGUAUGUAAACUUCUGACUUCAACUGUAUAUAAAUACAGUAUUACAUACAUAUAUAUUUUUUUUUAAUGAACAAAACGUUUAGCA